rnacentral:rRNA from 1 species
AACGAACGCUGGCGGCAGGCUUAACACAUGCAAGUCGAACGGGUGUAGCAAUACAUCAGUGGCAGACGGGUGAGUAACACGUGGGAACCUUCCUAGGGGUACGGAACAACUCAGGGAAACUUGAGAUAAUACCGUAUACGUCCGUGAGGAGAAAGAUUUAUCGCCCUUAGACGGGCCCGCGUCGGAUUAGGUAGUUGGUGGGGUAACGGCCUACCAAGCCUACGAUCCGUAGCUGAUCUUAGAGGAUGAUCAGCCACACUGGGGCUGAGACACGGCCCAGACUCCUACGGGAGGCAGCAGUGGGGAAUCUUGGACAAUGGGCGCAAGCCUGAUCCAGCCAUGCCGCGUGAGUGAAGAAGGCCUUAGGGUUGUAAAGCUCUUUUACCAGGGACGAUAAUGACGGUACCUGGAGAAUAAGCCCCGGCAAACUUCGUGCCAGCAGCCGCGGUAACAC